UACGGGGGGGGCAAGCGUUGUUCGGAAUUACUGGGCGUAAAGGGUUCGUAGGUGGCCAACUAAGUCAGACGUGAAAUCCCUCAGCUCAACUGGGGAACUGCGUCUGAUACUGGUUGGCUUGAGUGCAGGAGAGGAACGCGGAAUUACAGGUGUAGCGGUGAAAUGCGUAGAUAUCUGGAGGAACACCGGUGGCGAAGGCGGCGUUCUGGACUGCAACUGACACUGACGCUCAUGCACGAAAGCGUGGGGAGCAAACAGG
rnacentral:rRNA from 1 species